GUUAAGUUGUUUAUUAAGACAUGAGUCCAGUAGAGUCCAGUAGUGUUAAGUUGUUUAUUAAGAUCCAGGGGUUUCAUAUCAACAUGUCAGAAAAUGAUCACUUGACCAAGAACAAGGGACAACUAUACAUAUGACAAACUGUAGGACAAUACAAUGGAACCUUUUGAGGGGAAAGAGGUAGGAGAGUGAGAGAGGGAGAGAGGAGGAGAGUGAGAGAGGGAGAGAGGAGUAGAGGGAGAGAGGAGGAGAGGAGGAGAGGGAGAAAGGAGGAGAGGAGGAGAGGUAGGAGAGUGAGAGAGGAGGAGAGGGAGAGAGGAGGAGAGGGAGAGAGGAAGGAGAGGAGAGAGAGAGGAGAGGAGGAGAGGGAGAGAGGGGGAGAGGUAGGAUAGUGAGAGAGGAGGAGAGGGAGAGAGGAGGAGAGGAGGAGAGUGAGAGAGGAGGAGAGGAGGAGAGGGAGAGAGGGGGAGAGGUAGGAUAGUGAGAGAGGAGGAGAGGGAGAGAGGAGGAGAGGAGGAGAGGGAGAGAGGAGGAGAGGAAGAGAGGGAGAGAGGAGGAGAGGAGGAGAGGAGGAGAGGAGGAGAGGAGGAGAGGUAGGAGAGUGAGAGAGGGGAGAGGGGAGAGAGGAGGAGAGGGAGAGAGGUAGGAGAGGGAAAGAAAACCCCGUCCUCCUCAGGCUCUCCCCCCAUCGCUCCUAGCUCGGAUGGGGAGCUGCCUGGGGGUGAGACGAUGUGUGAGGCGAGGAUCGGAAUGGGUAGAAGUUUGGGUCUCUCUUACUGGGGGGCUCUUCUCCAAGGGACAGGGGUCACCUGCACCUCCACUCUUUAUCUGUACCCCUCCCCCCUCUCUCACCCCCACAGCCCCCUCUGUACCCUUCUCCACGGCACUCUUCAUCUGUACCCCUACCGCACCCCCCACCUCAGGUUUGGGGGUCCCCUGCCCCCCCGAGGCCAUCGGGGCUACAGUCGGGGGGUUCCCCAGGUGGGCGUGGCCGGGGUCAGGGGUCAGAGGUAAGGGGUCAGGGGUUAAGACUGAAGGUUCAGGGUUAGGGUCCACACUCAGCCCCUGGCUCUGAUACGCUGGCACCACUGGAGGCAACAUCACCCUGGUGUAGACCACCUAGAACAAAUACAACAUGAGUCCCAGAGUACCAUGAUACAUAACCUACAUGGUAGAUGACCUACAUGGUAGAUGACCUACAUGGUAGAUUACCUACAUGGUAGAUGACCUACAUGGUA
ensembl:lncRNA